GGCAUUGAAAUUUCUGCAAGAAGCUAUAAAUGGGGCCUUAGUCCAAUCAGUCUUGACAAGUCCACCUACUGUAGCCCAAUCAUCUGCAUCCCAUAAACUUGAGUAUAUCCACAUUGGUUGUUCUUUUGGAUAAGGGAUCCCACUUGCUUCCAUAUUCUUGGAUUGCCUAAUCGGUGUCCCAUCUACUGAAAAGCUGAUUUUGUUUAAUAAAUAAAAUAGGAAAAAAGAAUAGUAAUUAGUAAGUAAUCAAUCUACAUGGACAAAUUAAGUUCAAGAAAUAUAUAAUUACAGGAAAUUCUCUCGUUUUUCAUUAAUGAAAAUUUUGAUCCUUGAAUUAAGUUGUUUUAUGAUGCUGACUGUUGACACUUGACAUAAAGAACACCUUUUUAAAAUUAUAUGGUACAAAACACUUGCGAAAACAAACAAAAACUGCUAAUAUCUCAAUCAUUGUGAUUUAUUGAUUCUGAUUAAUCAUUCUUACUGUUGUAUACCAUUUCGAUGUAUAAAGUAUAAAUUGUACAUUUUUAAGGUAUACAAUAUACAUAACUGUUGCAUAUAAUUAUUUAAGGAGAAACUUUAUAAAUAGAUACUGGUUAGUAAAAACUCCCUUCGUCCCAAUUUAAGUUUCUUACUUUCCUUUUUGGUCUGUUUUAAAGUGUUCCUUUCUAUAUUUGAUAAGUUUUCCAAUUUCAACAUUCUACCUAACAAGUUUAAGAUCAUAAGAUUAAAGAACUACGCACAUAUUUAAUUUAAGAUUACAAAAUUCAAAAAUCUCUUUUUAUUUGUUGAAUUUCAUGUCCGGUCAAAUUAAGACACUAAAAUUGAGACAAAAGAAAGUAGGUUAUUCUGACUAGGUAAUCAUGAAAAAGCCCCUAAAAGAAAGGUACAUAAGAAAUAUCAAGACUAAGUAAAUAUCAAAGUAUAGAAGCUAGUAAAAUGUGUCGAGAGACAGGAGCUAAUUACAUGAUGCUCUGAGGAUUCCAAAGAAUAGAAUAAUAAGUAUGGAAGUCCUUAGUGGGUCGAACCAAAGAUAAAAUUGCUGCUCUCUAUCUCCCUUUCCUUGUGUGUAUACAUUUGUGUGAAGAGUAUAGGGCUCUCCACUUACAUUCCCAAGAAACUCAAAGUCAAUCUCGUCAUGAUUUGAUCCUACUGAUGAUAGCUGCAUUUUAUAAUCCACACCAUUAAAACUCAACGUAUAAAUUAAAAUUUACAUAUUUAGAAAUUAAUCACGUAAAAAAUAUUAUAAAUCAUAAUAAUAAAUAAUUUAAAAUAUUUAAAAGACAUUUGAAAAAAUUACAGUUAAAUAAAGACUUGUUUGAAUAUUGAAAUUUGAAAGAUGCCACGUAAAUUAGGACGGAUGAAACAAUAUAAUAUUCAUAAAGUAACCCUUAAGCAGUUUGUCAAAUCAAUAGAUGCUUCCGUAGAAAAAAGACUUACAUAAUAUGCAGUAACGGUGCCAGCAGAAUUAUCAGGGACAAGUUUGAAAUUCAAAUCAAUCUUUCCAAACAAGUAAUGAUUUUUGGACCUAAAACCAUAGCCAGACAUUCUGUCAAGGGGAAGCGUGAGAAAUUGUCCAUCUUCGAGUAUUUUGGCACGGCCAUCACCCCUUGUAAUAUCAAAAGCUUGGUAGAAAUUUCGAGCCAACACUAGGGCCCAAGACUUUUAUAAUUCAAAAAUAAUUUUUUGGAACUAAAAUAAUCUAUUAAAAAAAAAACCCUUAAAUAGCCUUUACGUACAGAUUAUGUGCGUAAAAGGAUCAAAGUGUACAUUUACACUUAAGUCUUUUUACGCACAGAAUUUGUGCAUAAAAGAGGUAGAAUAUAUCGGGCCCUUCUUCUUCCCCACUGGUCCCCUUAAUUAAAAAACAAAAAAAAUGAAAAUCAGCCAUUAAAGGUCCUUUUUCAAGUUCCCACGCGAUCAAAAAUAUCGUUUUCUUGUUGAUUUCCAACCCAAAAGUGGUAUAUUGAAGUCUAGGAAUAAGUUUCUUCGCAAUAAAGCAGCGUAUAAUUCAAUUCAAAAACUCAAAAUCAAAGCUUUAAUCUAGGUAUUUCACUACGAUUUUUUUAUUACAUUAUUAACCUAAGCAUUACUAUUGUGCGAAUAUGGACAAAAAAAAACUUUUUACGCACUUUUUUUGUGCGCAAAAGGGUUGUUUUCAGCCCGUUUUUUCAUUUUUUUUUAAUUUUUUUUGUUCAUUUGUUGUUAAUUUGUUAAUUGUUUAUUUAUUAACCUAAGCAUUACUAUUGUGUGAAUAUCGACAAAAAAAAAACUUUUACGCACUUUUUUUGUGCGCAAAAGGGUUGUUUUCAACCCGUUUUUUCAUUUUUUUAUUUGUUUAUUUGUUGUUAAUUUGUUAAUUGUUUAUUUAGUAUUUGGUAAUUGUUAUAUUAGUUAUUUCAAUUGUUAGACUAGCUAAUUAUUUAUUUAGUUUUUGUUAAGCCAAUUGUUUAUUUGUUAAUUAUUUGAUUAGUUAGUUAAUUGUUUAUUUAUUAAUUAUAUGCUAAUUGUUUGCUAGCUAAUUGUUAAUUUUCUAAUCAUUAAUUAUUAAUCUUUAUAUCUUUAAUUGUUAAUUUAUUUAUUUGCUAAUUAGAAAUUGAAACUCGUUAGUUUAGGAUUCAAUCCUUUGUACGUAAAAGAUUACAUAACUAAUACUACGUAUUAGAGAUUAAUUAAAAAAAUAAUGAUUAAUUUAAAAUGCGUAAAAAAUAUACCACUUUAAUCCUUACUUCAUGUAUUAAUGAUUAAUUUAAAAUGCCUAAAAUAGAUAGAACACCACCAUGGAGUCGGGACCCUUCGACAACAGAGAGGUACUUUAUCUAUAGCAUGAGCAUAGGUCCCAGUAUGUAUGGGAUGCACCGAUAUCCUCUAGUAGAGUGGUCCGUACCCGUUCGGGGGAGUCAGCAUGUGAUAUUCUAGAGGCUAUUCCCCCACAUCCCCGUGUCAUAGAUAUACUACGUCGGGGCGGUAUCUACCGGUGCAUCGAGGUUGGUCGGCUUGUGCACGAUAGGGCUCUUGUGACGGCCAUGAUUGAGCGCUGGCGACCGGAGACCCAUACAUUUCAUCUCCGCACUGGCGAGGCUAUCAUUACCCUGCAGGAUGUCGAGGUGAUUUAUGGUCUACAGAUUGAUGGACAGACAUUGUAUAGAGUGGAGCCUCUGGAGAUGCUACCGUAUCGCUAGGAGUUGACUAGGCUCACUGGUUUCAAGCCUCUGCAGAGGGAUAUGCGUGGACGGAGUCGGUUGUUGCGGUCUUCCCUCCAUGCUCACUUGCGCCUCGUAGAUCUGCAGGGUCCGAUUGACGAGGCGACGCCUCAGGCUGAUGUUGACCGACGUGCUCGCUUAUAUCUUCUCAUCAUAUUCGGGGGCAUCAUGUUCCUGAACACGUCGGGUGCGGAUAUAAGCAUUAGGUAUCUGCUCUUUAUUGAGGACCUAGACCAGCUGGGAUGUUAUAGUUGGGGCGCCGCUGUCCUGGCUUACAUGUAUAGAGGAUUUGAUCGAGCCUCUAUGGGCGAGAGGCUUGAGGUCGCUGCAUUUAGCCCUCUUCUUCAGAUAUGGGUGUGGACUAGGUUGAGACCUUUUCAGCCCAUAGCUGCUCACCCUCCUGAUAACUAUGUUGCUGAGGAUAUGCCAUACGCGUGGAGAUAGUCGCGCCCAAGGCUUUCAUAUGGACACCGUAUGAUCAGAUUUUGGGUCAGCUGCCAGCAAUUUGUAGGGUUGGUGAGCACAUGUGGAUUGCACGGUGUUCAUUGAUCCAUAUGGACAUCGUUGAGUAUCACGCACCCGACUGCGUAUUAUGGCAGUUUGGGCAUGUACAGAACAUACCCGCGACUACACGUUGGGAGCACACCCACUACACCAGGGACGAGCGUCCGAUCGACAGUGCGGCAUGGCGGGCGCGUAUGCACUAGGAAGUCGAUGCAUGGAACGCGAGGAUGACGACUCUAGCGGCGGUCAGACAUGACACUCCGAUCCAUGAGUACAUGACGUGGUACAUGCAUAUCACUCGCUCCUUGAUUGCCAACCGCUCGACGCCGCGUCCUGAUGGCCGAGGAUAUGCAUCACUCUCAGGAGCGUAUGAGGCGCUGCUACGAAUGACUCUGAUGAUACGCCAUGAGAGCAUUCCCCUUACAGAGUCCACCGACCCCGGAUAGCGGCAUAUGCAUCACAGAUAGUUUAUCUUACUGACACUGGUAUGACACGGGCACAAGAGUGGCAUCGUGUCGAUGAGGAUGUACCAAAGGGUGUUCCUGAGGGUGGUAGGGCUGAUAGAGGUGGUCGGGCUGAUAGAAGUGGUCGGGCUGGCAGAGGUGAUCUGGCUGGCAGAGGUGGUCGAGCUGGCAGAGGUCUAGUAGAUGAGCCUGACGAUAUAGCCUGUCAGGCUCCGUCAGCUAUAAAUAUCCCGUCGACCUCUUCUUCCAAGCCGUCGACUUCACAGAGACCUGGAUAUACGCCAGAGAUGGUCCCACAUUAUGAUCCUUGGUCAUUAUUUGCACAUGUGCCAGUUAGUGAUCUAUAUAUGGGAGGCGGAGAUGAGGACAUAGACUUGGAUAUUAUUUUCGUGACUACUUUCUUCUUGCUACAGCCAGGCCUACGGCACCAUUUGCAUCUCCGGCUCCUCGGGCCGCUCAGGAGCCCUCUCACAUGCCAUCUCAGGAGCCUGUCGACACACUUGUUUGUUUUUUUACAAUAAAAUAAUGUAUUAAUUAAUUAUUUUAUUAAUCUAAACUAAAUUAUUUACAUGUAUUAUAGGUUCAUUCUUCUGCGCCUGUGGACCCGUCUCCGCCUGUUCAGAUUGACACGUCUCCACCUCUAGCUACAACUCUGGGUAGCGCUCAGGUGACCGUUGAGGAGCCAGCUAAGGAGCCCUCUGACCAGCCAUCUCAGGAGGCCGUCGACACACAGGUUCAUUCUUCUGCUCCUGUGGUCCAGUCUCCUCCGAUUGAGUCAUCUCCUGAGGCUACUCAGGUGGAGACCGCCGCCGUCUCCCACAGGAAGCAUAUUUUCACCCAGGGCCUGAAGAAGGGAAGAAAGGAUGAUCAUGCCAUAAAUCAUCCUAUCAUUAAGAGGAGGAGAGAGGAUCCUGAUGAUACUGAGGGUGGUGGGGUUAGGAGGAUCCUU